UCCGGUAUGGUCUAGUGGUUAGGAUAUCUGGCUUUCACCCAGGGGGCUCGGGUUCGAUUCCCGGUACCGGAA
rnacentral:tRNA from 1 species